AGAAUCAUAAGGACCUUUAAGGCUCAUUAUGCACAGUACUCUAUGGAAAAAAAUUGUCAAUCUAUUAAUAUGUCACCAAACCCCAAAAGAGAAAAUAUCAUGAAAAUCUGGAAGGAUUACACCAUUGAAGAUGCUGCUGUUGUUACAGAAAAAUCCAUAAAAGCCAUCAAGACUGAAACAAUAAAUUUCUGCUGGGAAAAAAACAACACAAAACUGUGUCCAGAUGCUGUGUAUGAUCUCACAGGAUUUAUAACAGAACCAAUCAAGGAAAUAAUGAAAGAGACUGUGGAUAUGGCAAAAUUAAAAAGUAAGGGAUGAAGGCUUUCAAAAUAUACAUCUUAGAGAAAUUCAAAAGCUAAUAGACACCAAACCACAAUAGAGGAAUUCACAGAAGAUGAUUUGAUGGAGAUGAGUGUUUACAAUCCAGUGCCAGAUGGUGAAGAAAAAGACGAAGAAGAAACAGCGCCAGAAAAUAAACUGACAUUAGGCAAUCUGUCAAAAGAGUUAUGUUGAAGACCGCUUUUGACUUCUUUUAUGACAUGGACCUUUCUACGAUAUGGGCACUGAAACUAAAGCAAAUGGUGGAAGAAGCCUACUCAAUGGGGAAACCAUGAGGAUGAAGACUUUUAUAAUGAUUCAUUUCCACUUCAUAAACAGUAAAUGUAUUUUCUAUUUUUUAUAAUUUUCUUAAUAACAUUUUCUUUAGCUUGUUUUAAGAACACAAUAUAUA
rnacentral:lncRNA from 1 species